UACGGAGGGUGCGAGCGUUGUCCGGAAUCAUUGGGCGUAAAGGGCGCGUAGGUGGCGGGACAAGCGUGCGGUGAAAGCCUGGGGCUCAACCCCGGGUCGGCCGUGCGAACUGUUUUGCUUGAGCACUGUAGAGGCAGGCGGAAUUCCGGGUGUAGCGGUGGAAUGCGUAGAGAUCCGGAAGAACACCGGUGGCGAAGGCGGGUCUCUGGGCAGUAACUGACGCUGAGGAGCGAAAGCGUGGGGGAGCGAACAGG
rnacentral:rRNA from 1 species